CCCGCCUGCCUGCCUCUGCGCAGGGGAUGGGAACGGGGACAUGAAACAUGUCUGUGCAGCUUCAAGGAGCCGAGCAGAAUUCCCCACUGUCAUCAUCCUCCUCCCCUCCCUCCCUGCAGGCUGCCAGGGGGAGGGCUGAUUACAGCUCUGCCAUUGUUCAAUGAUGUUGAUAUGCUCAGCUCUUUGUUACAUGUAAAGAUAAUUCCUCCCUGAAGAACUCAGACUGCAAUGAUAAGAAAGACCAGUUGCAGCAUCUAUUCUAUCCCACCUCCUUCAGUGAAAGAUUAUUCCGUAUAUCUUAUCAAAAGGAAGCAGCCUUUCAAGAACUGUACCUUGGCUUAGGCCAUCACAGCUACAAAAAUCUACUGCUACAGUAAAUCCUAGAGAGAAAGGCUGCAAUGACACAGUGUUUCCCUUCCGAAGUGGCUCUGCAGAAUGCUAAACGCACACAACGCCUGGAGCAGCUCAGGGCCCACAUCCGCAGACAUGCAUUGAAAACCUGGAAUCCUCCUUGAACUGGCAUCGCUGGGUGACCUCAUGCACCUACUUGUCAUCUCAGCAGUUUCAGCGUCACUGUUCCUCCUUAGAUUCAUUAAGCAAAUAUUUAACAUCCGAAGAAAGGAAAGCGCCCCGCGGCCUGAGCGGCCCGUCCUGCUGUUCUCCCCACAGCCAGGCCAAUAAAAACAGAGCCCCGAAGCACCUUCCUGCGGAGCUCGUACUCUGCCAGCCCCAGGCUGAUUCCAGGGCACUUCUGGCCCCCCUAGAAAUGGAGGGAAAUGGUCACAUCUACAAAAACUGAUGAAAAUCAAAUCGCGGUGACCUUCUGCAGUUGAGUUCCACAAAAGUAUGCUUAGAAGGAUCUUUGCAAGGUGAUGCACUGAGGAAAGAGGCUGGAUUUUUAAGAAGCCACAGCCUGGAGAGGAUUCUGGGAUGCCGAGGUUAAAACCCACUUUCUCCUUAGUUUUCUGGAUUUUUUCUUUCUGUCGUUCUCUUGUUAAUCACACGUGCGCAAGUCUGUUAUCAUAAGAGCUGUCUGAGGCUCCCGAACCAUUUAGCAGCAAUGUUUUAUGUGCCUGAUUUUUUAGAAAAGAAAAUGAAAUUGCAGCUUUCAUCUGAAGAGAGCUAUCAUCGCAGGAGCGAGGGGGACAACUGUUCAGCUGCUAGCACAUAACGAGAGGCAAACGUUGCCUCCUCCAUGCCAGCUCCUGACCUUGGUGGUGAGAGCUUGCUGCUAACUUAGCUGUUUACAGCCCUUGAGCCGACUGCUCCGGCGUCCAUCUGGGUGCGUGUGCAGUUGCGUUUCCAUUGCUGCCUCUCCCUCAGAUCGAGCAACAGCAGCGCGUAUUCCUCUGGCUUCCACCCCCGCCAAUCCCCCCCACUUUCCCCCUGAGAUAUGCGGACAUGUUGCUUUUUGCCCACCUCUCUCACCGCUGGGUAAGAGAGCCGGGAGAGCCGCGUGAGGGGGCCUGGAGUCGGGGAGUUAAUGCG
rnacentral:lncRNA from 1 species